UACGGAGGGGACUAGCGUUGUUCGGAUUUACUGGGCGUAAAGCGCGCGUAGGCGGAUCGCUAAGUCAGGGGUGAAAUCCCAGGGCUCAACCCUGGAACUGCCUUUGAUACUGACGAUCUGGAGAUCGGGAGAGGUUGGUGGAAUUCCGAGUGUAGAGGUGAAAUUCGUAGAUAUUCGGAGGAACACCAGAAGCGAAGGCGGCCAACUGGCCCGAUACUGACGCUGAGGCGCGAAAGCGUGGGGAGCAAACAGG
rnacentral:rRNA from 1 species